rfam:Lupinus angustifolius cultivar Tanjil chromosome LG06, whole genome shotgun sequence.
AAACCAUGAUUGAGACAUUUUAUGAGCAUGGACUUGUAUCUAUCCCAUGCCUCACACAAACUUUCACAUGCACUUUGAGAAAAAAAUAUAAAUUGUAGUUUUUAAGUCC